AUUGAACGCCGGCGGCAGGCCUAACACAUGCAAGUCGAACGGUAACAGGAAGAAGCUUGCUUCUUUGCUGACGAGUGGCGGACGGGUGAGUAAUGUCUGGGAAACUGCCUGAUGGAGGGGGAUAACUACUGGAAACGGUAGCUAAUACCGCAUAACGUCGCAAGACCAAAGAGGGGGACCUUCGGGCCUCUUGCCAUCGGAUGUGCCCAGAUGGGAUUAGCUAGUAGGUGGGGUAACGGCUCACCUAGGCGACGAUCCCUAGCUGGUCUGAGAGGAUGACCAGCCACACUGGAGCUGAGACACGGUCCAGACUCCUACGAGAGACAGCAGUGGGGAAUAUUGCACAAUGGGCGCAAGCCUGAUGCAGCCAUGCCGCGUGUAUGAAGAAGGCCUUCGGGUUGUAAAGUACUUUCAGCGGGGAGGAAGGGAGUAAAGUUAAUACCUUUGCUCAUUGACGUUACCCGCAGAAGAAGCACCGGCUAACUCCGUG
rnacentral:rRNA from 1 species